GAUGAACGCUGGCGGCGUGCCUAAUACAUGCAAGUCGAGCGAACAGACGAGGAGCUUGCUCCUCUGACGUUAGCGGCGGACGGGUGAGUAACACGUGGAUAACCUACCUAUAAGACUGGGAUAACUUCGGGCAACCGGAGCUAAUACCGGAUAAUAUAUUGAACCGCAUGGUUCAAUAGUGAAAGACGGUUUUGCUUUCACUUAUAUAUGGAUCCGCGCCGCAUUAGCUAGUUGGUAAGGUAACGGCUUACCAAGGCAACGAUGCGUAGCCGCCCUGAGAGAGUGAUCGGCCACACUGGAACUGAGACACGGCCCAGACUCCUACAGGAAGCAGCAGUAGGGAAUCUUCCGCAAUGGGCGAAAGCCUGACGGAGCACCGCCGCGUGAGUGAUGAAGGUCUUCGGAUCGUAAAACUCUGUUAUUAGGGAAGAACAAAUGUGUAAGUAACUAUGCACGUCUUGACGGUACCUAAUCAGAAAGCCACGGCUAACUACGUG
rnacentral:rRNA from 1 species